rnacentral:rRNA from 1 species
UGGGGAAUAUUGCACAAUGGGCGCAAGCCUGAUGCAGCCAUGCCGCGUGUAUGAAGAAGGCCUUCGGGUUGUAAAGUACUUUCAGCGAGGAGGAAGGCGUUGUGGUUAAUAACCGCAACGAUUGACGUUACUCGCAGAAGAAGCACCGGCUAACUCCGUGCCAGCAGCCGCGGUAAUACGGAGGGUGCAAGCGUUAAUCGGAAUUACGGGGCGUAAAGCGCACGCAGGCGGUCUGUCAAGUCGGAUGUGAAAUCCCCGGGCUCAACCUGGGAACUGCAUCCGAAACUGGCAGGCUAGAGUCUUGUAGAGGGGGGUAGAAUUCCAGGUGUAGCGGUGAAAUGCGUAGAGAUCUGGAGGAAUACCGGUGGCGAAGGCGGCCCCCUGGACAAAGACUGACGCUCAGGUGCGAAAGCGUGGGGAGCAAACA